UCGGAUCUAGCGAGAAUCUUUAGACAUCAAAUCCUCCGUUUGUAGGUAUGGUUGGGAGUAGGGGCGGUACUAUCGACGAUUUACUGGUGCCUCCAUUGUUUAGCUUUGGUUUGAUUGCUGAUGUCCAGUAUGUAGAUCGAGAUAACGGAACAGACUUUUCAGGGAGUAAAGUCAGAAGGUAUAGACAAUCAUUAAAAAGCCUUGAAAGGGCUGUGAAAGUUUGGAACAAAGAAAUUUCGGGUACGGAAAAGAUUUCUACGCUAAAUAUUGGUGUAGAGCUUAAAUACAAUACAUUUUUGAAUCAGAAUACAAAAAUAAUGUUUAUAUGUCAGUUAGGAGAUUUAAUAGACGGUUUUAACAGGGAGGAUGGGACGAGAUACAUUGCUAUCAGGGAGGUGUUAAAAGUUUUAAAGAAAUGCAUCUGUAGAAAAAUAUACCACUGUAUAGGUAACCACGAAUUAUACAAUUUUAAGCGAGAAGAACUACAGCGUUUACUGAAGGAAUACUCUUCACGGUCAAUAUAGUAACAUUUGUAAGCUCCAGCGUUCGUUCUAUUCCUUCUCUCCCUUUCCUGCAGUGAUAUAAACAUUUCUAAUUUGCCCAAGAACUAUGAUAAGCAAAAACUACAAGAAUUAUCACGUCUCUACAAGGAAAGCGCUUACCGAUAUUUAUGUAAAUAUAAUCCAAACGAUUUGAAAUCUGAUGCAGAUUGGCUUACCGGACUAAAAGGCCCUAAAAUGCGUUUUGCUCCGUUUAACGGAGCAUUCGGGGUUAUUCAAAGGGAGUGGCUGAGGAAAGAACUAAAACGUUUAAAAAAUAUGAGGCAUUACGUUGUAAUUUUUACACACAUCGCCCUCCAUCCCUCUAGUUGUAUCAACAGUUGCUUAGUUUGGGAUUACGAAGAAACUUGGGAAAUAUUAAGAGAGAAUAACACUCAAAAUGUAUAUGAAUAUUUAGAAUCUAACGAUCGUAAUUUAUAUAGUGAAAGUAACCAAAAUCUUUUUACGCAACUACCUAAUGAAAGUAAAAAAUAUUUAAAGUGUAAUAGGAGAGUGAAGUGUGAAAGUAGUAGUGAAGACGGUCAUAUUAAGUUUUAUAAUGAUAUUACUAACCAAAAAAAAGAUCAGAAUGGUUGUAAUAAUACAAAAAAGGGUAAUAAUUAUAAUAAUAAUAAUAAAAACAAUAGCGCCUUUAGUAUAUUCGCAGAAAAAAUUUCUUCGUCCCAUUCUUUUUCGGAGCGCAACGUAGUGGCAGUUUUCAGUGGACACGAUCAUUCUGGAGGGUACGGGGUAGAUGAAGUAGGGAUUCACCAUGUUACACUGGAAGCUCCCCUUGAAGCACCAGAAGACGUAUUAUCUUUUGCCACUGUGGAAGUGUACAACAACUAUUUACUAGUAAAAGGUCGCGGCUCAGUAACCUCUCGCAAGUUAGUUUUUAAUGGGUAAGUGAUUGGGAUAUUGAACAUUGUGGUGUAAUUUCAUAGUUUC